GUUGCACCUGCAUCACAAACAAGCAGCCAACUACAAUUCCCAGCAGGCCGUGGUCCUGUAAACGCAGCCUCUCCUUGCGUUUAGUGACGAGUGCAUUCUGGAACUUGUAGUCUUUUUUUAAUACUAAGGGCCAGGCUCGAGAUUAUAUGUACAAAACUACUUAGCCAUCUGUACGCCUCUGUCAUCCCGGACUCUUCGUGUUAAGCAAACUCAGUGGAAGAAAUGUAACUUAGAUGUGAUGACUCGGUGUAUAGUACACGUAAAAGUCACUUAACCAGCCGCCUUCAUUUCCGCAACUGUCAAGAGUAGUUCGUGCUUACACUUAGGUAGUCGUUGCAAACUUAUAGAGCAGUGCGAGAAGCAAUCCCUUGUAGAGUGGACUGGCAGAGCCCGAGGAAAAUAUGUCGCUUUAAUCGACUCAGACCCAGACCCUGCGAGUCGGAUUGUUUGAACUUCUGGGGACGAGUGGUCCGCUCCUCAUCCUCUCCGCCGCCCCCCAACACCUGUCGCCUGCUGCCUCGCGGUGGCGCUGCUUCCUGCACUGAACUGGCUAGCGGGUCCUGCUGUGUUUAAACAAGACCUGGAAUAAUUGAAUGGAACGAUAAAGUACGAUGCAAACGUCCAGGAGAUCAGUGUUUGGUUUGAAGCAGACAGCGUGGUGCCCUACAUCCUGGACUAUUACCACAAAUUUGAGGCCAACUUUGGCUGCAUAAUGAUUUCCAGACCAGCCUCAGCUACAGAGACUGGUGAGGCUCAGAACUAAUGGAGACCACCCGUGGAGAUGACCUUGUUCACCCCAGAGACUGAAGAGAGGCUUCCUGAGCUCUGAGGUUCCAGGCCCUGUUCCUGAAGCCUAGCAGCUACACGGAGGCCCCUUGGCAGCCGCAGGCUGGCU
rnacentral:sRNA from 1 species